UUUAACAUUUCCCUUGUAUAUAUGCACACAGUAGCCCUGUUCGAAAAACUUUACUUUCCCUCUCGUUUUUCAAUUUAAUCAGAUAGUCCUCCAGUUUCUUUCGUCUCCAUGGCUUCAAGCAGUUCGUAGCCCUCAUUUUCCAGGUCUGUUUUCCAUGCCAAUUUCCUAUGCUGGAUGCUUGAGUUUGUUUCGGUGGUUCAUCUGCGGCAACGAGUUCAGGGCUGACAUAGCUGUAUCAUAAUUUUCAUCAAUGACCUUUGAGACUAAAAUCAACCUUGCCAAGCUUGAACACUUUGCAGUUAGUAUUCAGGGAAAGAAGCAGCCAUUAGUUAUGUUGAUGGAGUGGUGAUUCAGAAGCUUUAGAGAGCCAUAAGAGAGUGCAAAAAACUUCUAGAAGAUGCAAGAUCAGACCUGAGACAUAUUAAAACUUAAGCAAGGAAGAGGGGGGGGGGGGGUGUGGACCAAUUUACUUCUAGGAGAUUGAAGUCGUACACCUGACAACACCAUGUCAGAUUUUGAUCCAUCUUAUGUGAAACAACAAGAUGAUUCUCCAAUUCAUUAAUGUAAUUUGAUUGUGUGGCAGAUAUUAUUAGUAAUAAAAGAUCAGAUUUUUUGGGUUUGGGAAGAAGAGACGACCGGGAUUGGCGUCUCUUCUUCUCUCUAUUGUGGGUGUGUCCCUCUGUCUCUCUUACUUGCUUUCUUUUCCUCUUCAAUUUCUGUCUACUUUCUGCUCUGCUUUUUCUUUUCUUUCUCUCUACUACUUUUUCCCUCUUGAUUUUUCUCUCCGUUUUCUCUCUUUAUUUCAUCUCUCUGCUUCUUUAUCUUCCACUUUCUCUCUUUGUUUUUUUUUUUUUUUUUCCUUCUCUACUUUCCUGUGUCUACUACUUCUGCUAUCCGUUUAGUUUUCCUCUCUUCUUGUUAAUGCUUUUUAUCUCUCCAUUUUCUUUUAUUA